UACGAAGGGGGCUAGCGUUGCUCGGAAUCACUGGGCGUAAAGCGCACGUAGGCGGAUUGUUAAGUCAGGGGUGAAAUCCUGGAGCUCAACUCCAGAACUGCCUUUGAUACUGGCGAUCUUGAGUCCGGGAGAGGUGAGUGGAACUGCGAGUGUAGAGGUGAAAUUCGUAGAUAUUCGCAAGAACACCAGUGGCGAAGGCGGCUCACUGGACAUGUAUUGACGCUGAGGAGCGAAAGCGUGGGGAGCAAACAGG
rnacentral:rRNA from 1 species